rnacentral:lncRNA from 10 species
AUGGUUCGUCCUCAUUCCUGCCUCUUCGAUCCUCGAGAUUUCAAAGUGGAUAUAUUUAUGGAUCUGAAGCUUUGCCAUGAAGAGGCACCAUGCACCUCCUCAUUCCCACCUCUUAACAUUUCCACGGCUUUUGGAGACAGUCCUCUCUUGUUCUUGUUCCAUGUAAAAGACCUGGAGUGUGACCUCGUUGUCCCCAUGGGAGUUGACUGUGAGCAGAGCUGCACAACCAGCUUCAUUGUUUCUGGGUAGACCCCGAGUGAUUACAGACUGGAUGACAAGGACGAAUGAAUGGAGCUUUUCUCCUCUGGUACAGUAUGACUGAUAGGAACACCUACCUUGUAGGGUUGUUGUGAGGAUUGAGAUAAUCCAUGUAAAGUGAUUAACCCGAUGAAUGUUUGCUGUUGCUCUUCUCCUUGGGCCUGAGGAAAUCUAAUCUAAUGGUAUAGGUGUGGGGCAGCCAUUCUGACAUGGUGAUUAGGUGUCUGGCAAGCUUUUAUCUUCCCUGCACUGUGAACCCGAGAGAUUCCACCGGGCCCUUUCUGGACUUCCUCCUCCUACUCCUCUUCUUUCUCCAGAGAUUAAGAGGAAAAGCACAAGGUCUG